ACUGAGGAUGUCCCAGUCACCCUUUGUCACCCCACACUUAGCCUAAUGCCAGAGGUCUGAGAUGAAGGAGGUGAGGGGGUCUUGGUAACGAGAAUGUGCCUCAUCCAAGCUGCAUGGAUCCAUGCCCCUGCACUGGAGUCGCAGAAUGGGGAGCGGCUGCAAGAAAGGUCCCCUGGGAGGCUGGAGAACAGGAGUGGGGUGGAGUUAGUGUCAGGGUCCCUCUGCAGCCUGAAAGUCACUUGAGAAACAAUUGUUGAGCACCUACUAGUGGCAAGAUAGGAGAUCAAGGACCAUGAAGACGUCCGCAUGUGCGGGCACACACACCCCAGUAAGACAAAUCAUAGUGUAGUGGUGGCCUUGGCUGUACAUAGAAAGAGGCAUCCUAGAGAAGGGGAGGUCUGAGCAGAGAGAUGACAGGUUGAGCACUCCUGGCAGAGGGAGUGGCAUGAUGGAGAAAGAGAAUGAGAUGGAGGACAAGUGCAGCGUGCCCAGGUAUAAUGUGCCUAGGGGAUAGAGGGGGUGUGGCAAGUGGGGAGAGGGAUGAGAGUAUGGUGGGAAAUGAGGCUGGAAGGAGAGAUGAGGCCACGACACAGAGGAGAGACUCAGAAUGCUGCAUAACCUCCCUGAGCCCCAUGGUCUUCGUUACUGCAAAUGGGACGUGGAAUCCAGGAAUGAGAGGAGGAAGGAGAAAAGGACCACUCUGAGAGAGGACAGGAGAGAGGAAGGCAGCCCCAGAAGCAAGAGCCUAUUCUUCUGACCCUAAACUGAGAUAUGCUGAGUAACUGCAAAAGGCACAUGUUAAACUACAUUUUCCAGCCCUCUUGCUUUGAGGCUGGCCAUGUCACUGAGUUCUGGCAAUGAAACGGGCACAGAAGUGAUUUUUGUCACUUUCAGGCCUGAUCCAUAAAAACCUCGAUCCGUCAUCCCCUUUUCCAUCAUCCCUAUCUGGAUGACCCAGGGCACCACGAAGCCAUGUGAUGAAGAUGGGGAGAGCUUGGUCCCUGAAUGAUUACAUGGAGCAGAGCACCCUUCACCCUGCCCGCUGCCACCUACACUGAACUAUGACUUGGAUGAAAUAAACCUUCCCUGUGUUAAUCCGGUGAGAGUUUAGCUUAUCCUGACUAACAGCACCAUGAAGGUCUGAAGCCAAGUCCAUCAAACUCUGAAGACCAUCCUCUCUCAUGAAGCCAUAUUGCCACACAAUAUAGCAGAAAUAUAAAAGUCAAACUAUAAAAUAUUAUCUAAUUCCGCAGCUCACCUCUUCCCUGCCAUACCUCUUCCACGACCAAGAACUAGAUUCCUAAAGAUUUUCAAGGAAAUUGGGAAAACGAAAAC
rnacentral:lncRNA from 1 species